GACGAACGCUGGCGGCGUGCCUAACACAUGCAAGUCGAGCGAAGUUUUUCUGGUGCUUGCACUAGAAAAACUUAGCGGCGAACGGGUGAGUAACACGUAAAGAACCUGCCUCAUAGACUGGGACAACUAUUGGAAACGAUAGCUAAUACCGGAUAACAGUAUUUCUCGCAUGAGAGAUAUUUAAAAGUUGGUUAUGCUAACACUAUGAGAUGGCUUUGCGGUGCAUUAGCUAGUUGGUGGGGUAAAGGCCCACCAAGGCGACGAUGCAUAGCCGACCUGAGAGGGUGAUCGGCCACACUGGGACUGAGACACGGCCCAGACUCCUACGGGAGGCAGCAGUAGGGAAUCUUCCGCAAAGGGCGAAAGCCUGACGGAGCAACGCCGCGUGAGUGAAGAAGGAUUUCGGUUCGUAAAGCUCUGUUGUUAGGGAAGAAUGGAUAUGUAGUAACUAUACAUGUAAGAGACGGUACCUAACCAGAAAGCAACGGCUAACUACGUG
rnacentral:rRNA from 1 species